rnacentral:lncRNA from 1 species
CGCCCCUCUCCCGGCGCCGGUAGAGGUGGCGCGACGGGAUGUUCCACCGAACCGACCUCAACGGCCGCCUCGCCGUCCCAUCCACCGUCUCCGCGCCAUGCGUGACCGGACAUGAACCAACUCCUUGACGCCCGGACGCCGAGGUGAAUGGAAUUCUCCUCCUCCUUUUUUUUUUGAAAAGUGAAGGUGAAUGGAAUUCGCCGUCCCGUGCUUGGAAGCACAAGCAAGCGCCCACCGGCCCCCAGGGGCUCGACCCUCCAGCCCAGCAGGCGCCGACGCUGGGGGGGGGGUUGGGGGGGGGGGGGGGGUCGUCGAGUUCCAGGUCACCCCCUGGACUCGGCUAUCUGAAACGUGGCCGAACUGUUGGGCUUUGUCCGUGCCGGCGCCGGGAUUAUUGGUUUUAAGCAACGCCACCACCCGGCUAAUCAUUCACUGGCCUGGUGAUCACUGAUUAGCGCCCAUGCGCCCGGCGAUCCAGUGCCGUGCCGUGCCGUGCUCGGUAGCAGUAGGCAGUGGCGCUCGUCCGCUCCGCCUCUUUCUCUCUCUUUCCCUGCGCAUGUGGCGUGGGGCCUCCCCUGCUCCCGGCCCCGGUGGUUGGUGGACGACGCCCUCGUGGAACGUGCGCGUACAGUUGUCGCCUGCGGGCUGCGGCGAAUAGAGGCCAUGUUUAGUUACCUCCCAACACCCAACUUUGGCACUAUGCAAAAAGAAGAUUCCCCAUCACAUCAAACUUGCGGUACAUGCAUGAAAUACUAAAUGUAGACGAAAUUAAAAACUAAUUGCACAGUUUUGUUGUACUUUACGAGACGAAUCUUUUGAGCCUAAUUAGUCAAUAUUUGGACAAUAAUUCACAAAUACAAACGAAACGCUACAGUGUGCUACAGUGCUGGCACAGUAAUUUGGCAUCUCCCAAUUUGGCCAACUAAACAAGGCCAGAAUCUUCCGCCGCGUGCUGCGUCCACCACUCCAGCCCUGCACUGCACUGCCCGGAAAGCUUUCGACGUUCAUGGGCGACGCGCCGGGGGCCGCCCUUCGAGCCCUGAGCGGAGCCGACGCCGCGCAGAAGCGUGGUGCCACGCUGUACAAGCUUUUUAUUUGUGCAAAUGUGACGACACGACCGCAGCGAGCUGUUCCUGGAUGCCUGGAUCCAUACAGCAACAACAUUUUCACAAUUUUCAACAUUGAUUCCGAUUUCCGAGUGACUUGGAUGGUCCUCGAAAAAAAAAAGGGAAGACGCGUAUGAAUGUAUGAUGGAUGCUCAGAGAACUGGGCCCAAUUACUACAAACCUCUGGGCUUCGGUCCACGAAUCGACGACGGUGAGUACAUGGGCUCAAUAAUUUUUACACGGCCCAUAAAUUUCUUCUAGCAAUAAAGGUUGCUUGCUUCUACAGUACUUCUUGAGUGUUCAGCCUCUUAAAAAACUUCUUCACUGUUAAUAAGAACCUGGUGGUGCUAGUUGAUAAAUGACAAACUACAAGUACAUGGCCAUAACCACACUGCUUCUUUCUGCCAAAAAAAAAAAGAAUACACUGCUUCGUCUAGGCCUGCAAACAUGAGCUGCUAACAUCAUCAUCAUCGUGACUGGUUCCAAACUGCUGAUCCCAACGUAAUGACUGAUUCCAAGCCAGUAAAACUGAGGUCCAUUUUACUCCAACUGAUUUGCAUUGGCAACGAUGAUUUUAAACCUACACCGACAACACCCAGUGGAAAACAAUAAUCAGUGCAUUUCAUUACUACCAUAUCCAUGCCUAAUACCAGUUGCAAAGAUUCGCAAUGAUUAUGCAGUAACGGAGAGCACUUUGGGGCUUCACAUCUUCAUCUCAAUGGAUUAGUUUAACACUGAAUUCCUGGUGAAUUCGUUGUUAUGAGUCGUCUCCAAGCCGUUGGGUUCUGGGAUUUGUCCUUAGGAUCCAAGAGUUUGGUGGAUUGCAUCGCACGAAUGUUUCUUAAACCCUUCUCGUGCCAUAUCCGGUCCACCAGGUAUCAAGUUAUCCAUAUCUCUUCGCCAGAGGUAAUCCAGCUCCAACCAGUAAAAAGAGAAUUUCUUGACACAUUCUCCGCCAUCAAUCAAACUGAUGGACAUUGUUAUGACUCUCUCGGUAUUGAUCGCACCUCUGAAUUCGACGACGGCGACUACAAAAAUUCCUCUCCGAUGACUACAAAAUUGUUCUACAGCCGCAAAUUUUUCCUCAAGACGCAUUGCAAAAUUCCUCUCCGAUGACUACAAAAUUGUUCCUACAGCCGCAAAUUUUUCCUCAAGACGCAUUGCAAGUCCUGCUUGCAAGCGGGCAAGACAGAGAUUCCUAAGUCUCAAUGCACCAUCCUAGGCAAGCUCAUCCGCAUCCCGCGCAGCGACGCCGCGCGGAUCGCGCCCUCGAAGCACGCCACGGCCGGGACCGGGGACGCCGCUGGCGCCCGCGCGGCGGCCUCCUCGCCCGCCGCCGGCGCGGGCGGCUGCUUGCUGGCUUCCUGCCCGGCCACCAACGGAUGCGACCACCGCCGCUGCUGCUGCGCCGGCGGCGCCGCGCCACCGUCGCGCUCGCCGUCAAUGAGCUCCAGCACGAGGCGGCGGUCCUCGACCUUCCUGGCGCCGACGCGGUGCGCGGCCUCCUCCCGCGAGAUCACGAGGCGGCCGUCCGCGGUGCGCUCCCGCGCCAGCGGCCGGAGCGACGGGAGCGGGGGCGGCAGCCGGCGCGGGCGGCGCCGCCACCCGUACGACACCCAGCACCCCUCCCCCUCCCCCUCCCCCUCCUUACCCUCACAACCAUCCGCCGCGCCGCCACCGCCGGCGGCGAGGCAGCGCACCGCGCGGGGCGAGGCAGCGAUCGUGCGGGUGGCCACGUUGCCGCCCACCGGGGAGUAGGAGGCGGCGGCGAUCAGGGUUUGGAGGCCGAGGGGGCAGCAGGCGGCGGCGUCGCGGGCCUCGGCGGCGGGGAGGAGGAGCAUCGCAGAUUCGCCGCGUACGGUGGCGUGGCGGAUUGGGAGGUCUCUCUCCCGGCUAUAUCAAGGUCGCGGAACCCGACGCCCUCCGAGUUGGACUCGGCGCGGCGUCCUUGGGUAGGGUCAUCCGUUUGGAGGAUCUCUUCGGGGGACGAGGAUGGCGUGCGUUUAUACCCGGAUGGCGUUGGCCAGGGUUUGGCUUGGACUUCGGAUUGCGUACGGAUCGGACGGCGAUUAGGCUAAUCGGACGGGUUUCGCUGAGAUAAGGAUCGUUUCUUGCCUUAUCUAUGCAGGUUUUGCGUUUUCACUAGUACACGACUUGUUGAAAUCGAGUUUCUUUUUUUAGACUGGUUGAGAUUUGAGAUGUGGAAAUGAAGCUCAACUCGGCUCGUUGAUGGGUGGCUCUAUCUGAACUGGGCAAACGGCAAACCAGGAAAGAGAUUUUGAAUAUUCGAGACAAUUUCUAAGAGCAAUUCGCGAGAUCCGCCUUUCCAAAAUUCGGAAACCUGGCAACAAUCUCUGGUACUUCCUAAUCAUAAGAAAAACCUGUCAAGAGUUCCUAACACCAUAGCUCAACAAAACUGCCAACACGUCCACUGAUUGACAAGAAUCCUACAUGCUAGUUCGUGAACUUUCAUUCCUGCUCUAAGUAUGCAUUGUGAGAAAAAAAACUUGGGAAUGUUUUAUUACUUCCACAAUCAGUAUGUCUGAAAGCUCGUAUAAGUAUAUGAUGUACGUGUUUCGAACUAUGUCCAGAUCUACAUGCAUGACAACAACUUCACUGCCAGUUCCUAACCCUGUAUCGGGUCAAAUAACCGGUACUAAAGAGAACCUUUAGUACCGGUUGUUUAUACCAACCGGUACUAAAGAUCUUUUUUCUUUUCUGUUUCUCUUCUAUUUCUUUAUUCUAUAUUAGUAGUUUUCAUGGUGAAAAAAAUUUAAUAGCUCUUUACAUGCCAUCCUGUUAUGCACCCAAUAAGCACUUAUACGAAUACAGACAAAACAAACAAAAUAGAUGGCCUCUUGCACACGCAAUUAGAUCGAUCAUGCAUUUCAUACAUAUAGCUGUCCAAUACUUAAAAUUAGUAGCAGCAGGACUCAAACUAGAAUCAAGACUCAAACCGGUAGAACGACUCAAAUUGGUAGCAGCAGGAUUCAAACUAGAAUCAAGACUCAAACCGGUAGCACGACUCAAACUGAUAGCAGACCAUCUAGAUAACAAAAUAGUAGGACUCAAACUAGUAGUCUUUCAUGACAGUAGUUCAUCAAAAUAAAAGAACAAUAAGGGGGUGUUUGGAUCCUGGAGCUAAAGUUUAGUCCGUGUCACAUCGAAUAUUCGGAUGCUAAUUAGGAGGACUAAACAUGAGCUAAUUACAAAACUAAUUGCAGAACUCCUAGGCUAAAUCGCAAGACGAAUCUAUUAAGCCUAAUUAAUCCAUCAUUAGCGAAUGUUUACUGUAGCACCAUAUUAUCAAAUCAUGGACUAAUUAGGUUUAAUAGAUUCGUCUCGCGAUUUAGCCUAGGGGUUGUGAAAUUGAUUUUGUAAUUAGCCUACGUUUAAUACUCCUAAUUAGUGUCCAAACAUUCGAUGUGACAGGGGCUAAAAUUUAGCCCGAGGAUCCAAACACCCCUUAAGUAGUAUAAUUUCAAAUACAGGAGCACUUCAUCCAUCCAGUAGACAUGAGCGCUCCAUCCAUCAGGCAGAGCAGCACCACCAAAUGACAAGACCUGAUACGGAGAAAGGAGAGAGAAGUAAGAAACAUACCUCAAUUAUGUUUAGAAAAUAGGGCCAAUGUCAUGCACUCCAAAGCUUUGGAUCUCUCAGCCUUUGCUUCUUCAGUAAGAUCACUUGUGGAAGCAUAUAGUAAACUCUAUAAUGGUCUAGUAUUUUACUGCUAGUGUCGAUUUCACAUGCAUCCCAAGAGUACAAUACUGCAAAUCUACUUGAAUGUUUCAGACAUACUUCUACCAUCAAACGAUAUAACAAACAAGCCAAAUAAAUUAACGGCGCCCGGCCCCGCAUCUCACCGGCGGCGCCUGGCUGCCCCACCACCGCGCCUCGUCGGCGCCUGGCUGCCCCGCCACCGUGCCUCGUCGGCGCCGGUUGCCCCUUCCCCGCGACCCGCCGGCCACUCCUUCUUCCCGGGCGACCGCUGCUCCUACUCGCUGGACCCCGGCCGGCCGCCGCUCCUACUCGCCAGACCUCUGCCUCAGAGGUCUGGCGAGUAGGAGCAGCGGCCGGUCGGGAAUAAGGGGUGGCCGGCGGGUCGCGGGGGAGGGGCGGCUGGGCGCAGCCGGCAGGAUGUGGCCGGAAGAGCGGUAGGUCCGGCAAGAGGGGAGAGAGAAGGGGGGAGCGCACCGGAUCUCGUCGCCACCACCGCCCCCGCCCCUAGAUCUCGUCGUCGCCGCCACCCCCGGAUCUCAUUGCCACCGCCGCUCCAUCCGCGCUGCUACAUCUUGUCGCGCCGAGCCUGCUAGCCACCGCCGCUCUGUGCCUCGAUGGUCGCUGCCGCCGCUCCUCACCUCAGGCACAAGGUGAGGGGUGAGCGGAGGGGGGAGGAGAGGGGAGGUCGGGGAGUGAGGGAGGGAGAGGGUCGGCAGCAGCGGAGGGAGAGAGGGGACCGGUGGAGGGGGAGGGAGUGGGUCGGCAGCGGAGGGAGUGAGGGGGCUAACGGGAUAAGGAGAGAGGGAGGAGAGAAGUUGGACUAGGGGAGAGAAAGGGAGAAGUGGCGGAGGGAGAGAGGGAGCGCGGAUGUCAAGCGCGCUUAACUGGAUUUGAUAAAGAUUUCGUGUCCGAUCGGACCGGUACUAAAGGUCACCCAUUAGUACCGGGUGGGGGUCACGGGGGCUCCUGAAGAAUUAGCCGUUAUACUCGGUACUAAUGCUUACAUUAGUACCGGGUCAAAAACCAACCGGUACUAAGGGUUAGAACCAAUACUCAGUUUUCCAAUAGUGCCUACUAGUUAAUCAAUUUUUUAGUUAGAGUGAAGUACAUGGCCAGUUCUCUAACUUGUCAAGUGUGUCAUUUAGGUCCCCACACUCUUAAAUUGUAGAAUCAUGUCACUAAACUCUGUUUUGGGUGCCAUCACAGGUCCAAACGGGCUUUGACCCGUUCUGCAAGCUGACGUGGCGUGCCACUUGGGUCCAGCGUGGAGGAUUGCUGAGUAGGCUAGUAAAUAUGCAGAGGGCCCCUUAAUUCCCAUCCCCCAUUUCAGUUAUAUGGUAAUGAUUGUUUUGCAAAUGACAGCGGUGACGCAUGAUGUACCAUUUUAAAUGAAUUCCAGAUUGAUGGAUGUAUG